AUUAGUAAGGCUUUCAAGCCUUAGUCAUCAUUCCACAAUCUACAGUGAGGGCUAGAAGGAGAUGGGAGUAAAAGAGCAGAGUUAUUUCCAUUUUAUACAUUAGAAAACUGAGCCCCUGAAAGUGUUAAGAUACUUGCCAAAUACAGCUAAAUCAAGUGGCUGAGAGAGAACCAAACCUAAAUCCAGAGAUUCUGGCUCCUCAGGAACAGUCCCUGAUUCUCCAUAACAACUGGCUGUUCUUGGGCUUUCCUCCUAAAGAUCCCAUUUCCAAACCAUGAUAGUUUGAACGUUUACAUGGAAAGCCUUAACAGAUUUUUUAAGCAGGUAAAGAGAUUCAUCUGCUUUGAAAGAGAUUCCAUGGAUGGAUGGAUGGAUGGAUGGAUGGACGAACAGGUGGGUGAAUAGAUAGAUGGAUGACUGCGUGGGUGGGUGGGUGGGUGGGUGGAUGGAUAGAUGGGUAGAUGGGUGGGUGGAUAGGUUAAUGAAUAGAUGGAUGAAUGGAUAAAUGGGUGGAUGGAUGGGGGAUGGGUGAAUGGGUGCAUGGAUAGGUGGAUGGGUGGAUGAAUGGGUAGAUGGGUAUAUGGAUGGAUGAAUGGAUGGGUGGAUAGGUGGAUGGGUAGGUGCUAGCUGCAUGGGUAGACAGAUGGGUAGAUAUAUGGAUGGGUGGAUGGGUAGAUGGAUGGAUAGAUGGAUGGAUGAAUGGAUGGGUAGACAGGUGGAUGGAUGGGUGAAUGGGUGGAUGGAUGGGGAGAUAUAUGGAUGGGUGGAUGGGUAGACAGAUGGAUAGGUGGAUAGGUGGGUGGAUGGGUGAAUGGGUGGAUAGAUGGGUAGAUAUAUAGAUGAGCGGAUGGAUGGAUGGAUGGAUGAAUGGAUGGGUGGAUGACAGAUGGGUGGGUAGGUAGACGGAUGGGUGGGUGGAUGGGCAGAUGAGUGGAUGAGUAGAUGGGUGAAUGGGUAGAUGGACAGGUGGAUGGGUAUGUGGAUGGAUGGAUGAAUGGACAGUUGGAUGGGUGGAUGAAUGGGUGUCUGGGUGGAUGUAUGGGUAGAUAUGUCGAUGGCUGGAUAGGUAGAUGGGUGAAUGGGUGGAUGGAUGGAUGGAGAAUACACACAUUUUGUUAAUGGCAGCUGCAUUACUUUCAAUCCAUAUAGUAAUACAAAGCAAGUGAUGGUGAAGUAUUCCUGAGGAGCAAGUCUGCCAGACCUUAAAUGAAUCCCUAAAUGGGCAUAUGGAGACUAUCAUAACUGACACAAGGUUUGAGGAUGACAGUUCCGUAAGUGCUUGACAGUGUGUUCUCUUUUGUAAAGUUAAAUAGUCCUCUAAAGCAUUGUUUACAAUGAUACUUUGUUUAGCAAAUCCUUUUUCCACCAUAACCAGCAUAAAGUUGAACUCCAUUCCAUCCAUAUUCAGAUAUUCCAUCAAUAUCUGAAUUAUCCAUAUUAUAAAUGAGGGUAUACAAUUAUUGCAGUUUCAUGGAAACAAAAUGCUCCUUCCUCUCCCAGCCAGAUAAACACACACCACACAGGUGACCGCUGUCACACUGGACAAGCCUGCAAGGCCCCCACACUGGGAGUGUGGCCUCACCCACUCUCUCCCCUUUCCACGGUCUACUUACACACUCCUUCUCAACCCUCCCUGCUCCUGCCAGCCCAGCUCACUGACAAUUGCCACUUUAUGGUCUAAAGAUGAAAAAAUGUUAAUUGAGGGAAGGGCUCUACCAUCAAAACUGGGAAUACUCCACUGCAUAGCAAAGAUCAUUUCUUGGAAUUAGUCACUUAAAUGUUUACAAGAAACAAUUAUCAAGUGUCCCAGACUGAUUCAUUAACAUCAUUAAUGAAAGAAUUGCUAAGAGUUUCUGUUUUUUGGUUUAUUUUAAUCCUACUACGUAAACUUUUUUUUGGCACCACUCCAAUAAAAUUCCACCCAACGAUUAAAGGAGGUAAAGAUUCAUAAAGCAAAAAAUGUUACUGAAAGUUAACCUUGCCAGGGUACAUUGCAAACCCAACUUAGACACAAUCCUUAUAUGAUGCAAAAGCCGUCCUAACAAAACACAAAGAAAACAAUUAGUGCUAUUGCCAAUGCCUCAUAAUUUUGGACAGUGAGGAAGAAGUGCUAACUGAUUUGUCUUUUGCUGUUUGUGGGAUAAAAUAUAUAAAUGAAAAUGCCCCUGCUGUCCCAGAAUGAGGAAGACAUAAUGAACUCUGGCUUUCCAGAUUAUUCUGCCACAUCUGAAGGUUUGCAAAUAAACAAAUUAAAUAGCUCUUGUCUGGUUUUUCUAGUCAACUUUCAUUACUGUAAGGAUGGAUGCAGCAAGAUAAAUGUUUCCUUUUUACUUCAGUACUGAAAGAAACACAAGUUUUCCUGCUGCCUUUUAUGUUUAAGCUCUGAGGUCCACAGCCUAUUCUUAUUCACCAACUGGAAACGAUUUGUCUGCAAUGGCCAGUUUGAUGUUUUCUACUCAACUCCCAAAGUCCCAAUUUGAAGUCGUUCUCUUCCACUUAAGGAGACAUUUCAUUUUUCCUUUAAUUUAAAAAAAUGUUCUGAAUGUGAAAUGACAUUACAAGGACUACUAGAUUGCUUAAUAUAAAUUCCGUAUGUGUGACACUCUUCAGGCUGUGUCAGCAGACAAGGUCGGUUCAGCUAAACAAGCUGGCAAGCAGCCACUUGGGGGAAAAGUUUUAAGCAUGCUACAUGUGUCCAAGCCAAAGUCAGACCCGAAAUCUAACGUGAGUGUAAGAAAUACUUGAUCUUAAAAUGGCCCAUGGAAUUUAAUCUUGUUAAGCAAAUCUGAACCGGGCAGUUAUCCAUGAUGACCCAAUGGAAAGUCCUAGAAAAAAAUAUCUUAAACUGAGUGACCUUGUCCAGUUCAAGACAUUCUGCCUCUCUUAGCAUCAUUACUGGCUGGGACUGGAAAACAGAGCCUGUUCUCUCCACUGUUUCCCCCAUUCCAGCCACCAAAUACUCAAGGUUUCUUCAGUAAAAUACCAGGGUAAGAAUUCACAGUCCAAACAGCAAGCAUUUCUCCACAGAUCCUUAAUAUGGUAGGAAGAUUGAUUCUCAAGGAAACCCUAUCUAGGAACAUGGUAUGAAAUAAAGCAAUUCCCAAUCAUUCAUUUAUGAGGGGCCAAUGGAGGGAUCUCACAGAUAACUGAAAUCUACAGGACUCUUCUGUUUUAGCCAUUAGUUUGCAAAAUAAAUAUUUAAUCCAAGAUCUACUGAAGAAUAAAAUAAGUGUCCACUCUUGUGGAGUUAAGGACUGUGAACUAACCCAAAGGGAGAUAAUAGGAGAUUCCAGGCCAUGCAAGAAUCCCAAAUAACAUACAAACGGAAUGAUCAGUCAUCACUCAAGGGAUGGCUGGAAUAGUCCAACUAAAUCUUAUUCUGAUAGUCCUACAGAAGCAGCACUUUGACAGUCAUGAAUAAAAGUGUUCUUGAGUAUUAUAUAAGGAAUGAUACAAAAAUCAACUCCAUUUGGCCAUGAGAAGUAGUCUCUCCUAUUCAUGUACCCUUAACAUAAAAUUUGCUUACAUAAAAGAGAAAAAGCAAACCAAUCAUCUAUAUAAAAUAGAGAAGAAACUGGUAAAUGAUACCAUUAUCCUGACCAGAAAAUUAAAUAAAAAGAAUACUGACCCUCCAUUCUUGAGAUGAGAUGGUAAAGAUGUUGUUCCUUUGAACAUUUCUUGC
rnacentral:lncRNA from 1 species